rnacentral:rRNA from 1 species
GAAGGACCCGGUCUUCGGACUGGGAGCGUACACAGGUGCUGCAUGGCUGUCGUCAGCUCGUGUCGUGAGAUGUUGGGUUAAGUCCGCAACGAGCGCAACCCCUGCUGCCAGUUGCCAACGGGUGAAGCCGGGCACUCUGGCGGGACUGCCAUCGACAAGAUGGAGGAAGGUGGGGAUGACGUCAAGCCAUCAUGGCCCUUAUGUCCAGGGCGACACACGUGCUACAAUGGCCGGCACAGCGGGAAGCGAGGCAGUGAUGCCAAGCGGAUCCCUUAAAGCCGGUCUCAGUUCGGAUUGAAGUCUGCAACUCGACUUCAUGAAGCUGGAAUCGCUAGUAAUCGCAGAUCAGCCAAGCUGCGGUGAAUACGUUCCCGGGCCUU